ACUAUAAAUGCUCUCUUUAAAUAUGCUUCUAUGGUUUCUAUGCAUUAAUUCUUUAUUGGUUUAUAUAACCAAUGGAGCAACAUGAACAGUGAACCUGAACAAUCACUGUGGCAUCAUGGGAACUAAGGCCUUAUGUAACAUCAAAAUAACAAGCACUAAAUUACUUUAGACAUUUUAUAAAAUCUUAUUAUGUCUAAUAAAAGUGAAUUCUCCUGUCAAAGGGCCACAGCUCAUGUUUGGCAGUUGUAGCACCUGGAAGGUCGACUUAGAGCAGUUGUUAAAUAAUAUUUUCUCUAUAGCAUUUUGGGGUUACAUAAGUCACUGCAGCACAUUAACACACAUGUUCCCUCAAGCGUGCAACAUGCUGCACAGAAACACUUCUUCUUUCUCUGCUCUCACCCAUUUUUACUGGCUGGAUGACCAAAUCAUCUCUGACAGGCCGAGGCUUUUCAUGCAGGUCUGUGAGUGUGUGAUCGCGAGUGUGUGUGUUUGUGUGUGUGAGCAUUGAGCCGAACUGAGCCCGUUGAGCCCGUCAGACUGGGAUGUUCACACUGCACAAAAGGGCAGGGACACACAGGAGCCUCUUCAGUUCGAUAGUCUGCCACUGUUUGUUCAGGCUGCUGAGGGGCUUCGCGUCCGGGCCGUCUGCGGGCGUCGAACUGCUGCAGCCGUCGAUGAGGGAAGGUCGUUGGCUCGUCUGAGAAGCUCCAGCAGCAGAAAUGAUCAUCAGACUGGGAAGACUGACACCGGGAUACUUUCGUCUCCUGCAGAGGCAGGUCUCAGGUGAGGUCCGCAUGCAACCACAGAGCAGCCUCAUCGACCCCAUCGCCAUGACGAUGGCCACUGUGGGGAUGGGAGUGUCUCUGUACAGCACCAGGCAGAUGACCGAGAGGGUCCAGCUGAAACAUCCAAACGCCUGAAAUCAGUGAGAAAUACUCAGACCGCCCGUCAGGACGUCUCUGUGUUGGGGUUUGCGUGGCAGACUGUUUGUUCGUGUAUGUCGGAGAAGGUUUAUAAUGGAGGACGUUGAGAGAGUUUG